GGUUUAUACCAUGCUUCCAAGAAAAGCUCCUAAGCUUCAGAUAACUGGGAACCGUACCCCAAACCGACACAGGUGGUUAGGUAGAGAAUACCAAGGCGCUUGAGAGAACUCGGGUGAAGGAACUAGGCAAAAUGGCACCGUAACUUCGGGAGAAGGUGCGCCGGCGAAGGUGAAGGGCUUGCCCCGUAAGCUUUUGCUGGUCGAAGAUACCAGGCCGCUGCGACUGUUUAUUAAAAACACAGCACUCUGCAAACACGAAAGUGGACGUAUAGGGUGUGACGCCUGCC
rnacentral:rRNA from 1 species